ACUCCUACGGGAGGCAGCAGUGGGGAAUUUUGGACAAUGGGCGCAAGCCUGAUCCAGCAAUGCCGCGUGCAGGAUGAAGGCCUUCGGGUUGUAAACUGCUUUUGUACGGAACGAAAAGCCCUGGGUUAAUACCCUGGGGUCAUGACGGUACCGUAAGAAUAAGCACCGGCUAACUACGUGCCAGCAGCCGCGGUAAUA
rnacentral:rRNA from 2 species